GAACUGGAUGAAUUUGUCUCUGAAGAAGCUGGACAUGGUGAUGUGUCACGUUAGACCACUGAUGAACUUUAAACUACAUCUUUGGGAGCUUAUUCCAUAUCUUGUGAUGGAUCAGAAGAGAUGAAAAUAUGUUUCUGUCAGUCUGAAUAAAUGUUCUGAGUCUGUUGGAUGGAUGACA